CAGUAUCCACGGUAAUACGAAGGGGGCUAGCGUUGCUCGGAAUGACUGGGCGUAAAGGGCGCGUAGGCGGCGAUCAAAGUCAGGCGUGAAAUUCCUGGGCUCAACCUGGGGGCUGCGCUUGAUACUUGGUUGCUUGAGUGGGGAAGAGGGUCGUGGAAUUCCCAGUGUAGAGGUGAAAUUCGUAGAUAUUGGGAAGAACACCGGUGGCGAAGGCGGCGACCUGGUCCUUGACUGACGCUGAGGCGCGAAAGCGUGGGGAGCAAACAGGAUUAGAUACCCGCGUAGUCCCUGUCUCUUAUAC
rnacentral:rRNA from 1 species